AUUGAACGCUGGCGGAAUGCUUUACACAUGCAAGUCGAACGGUAGAGGGGGCAACCCCUUGAGAGUGGCGAACGGGUGAGUAAUAUAUCGGAACGUGCCCAGUCGUGGGGAUAACGUAGCGAAAGUUACGCUAAUACCGCAUACGAUCUAAGGAUGAAAGCGGGGGACUCGCAAGAGCCUCGCGCGAUUGGAGCGGCCGAUAUCAGAUUAGGUAGUUGGUGGGGUAAAGGCUCACCAAGCCAACGAUCUGUAGCUGGUCUGAGAGGACGACCAGCCACACUGGAACUGAGACACGGUCCAGACUCCUACGGGAGGCAGCAGUGGGGAAUUUUUGGACAAUGGACGCAAGUCUGAUCCAGCCAUUCCGCGUGCAGGAUGAAGGCCCUCGGGUUGUAAACUGCUUUUGUACAGGAAGAAACCCUUUCACGUGUGGAAGAUUGACGGUACUGUAAGAUAAGGAUCGGCUAACUCCGUGCCAGCAGCCGCGGU
rnacentral:rRNA from 1 species